rnacentral:rRNA from 1 species
UUUGGAGAGUUUGAUCCUGGCUCAGGACGAACGCUGGCGGCAUGCCUAAUACAUGCAAGUCGAGCGGAGUUAUGAAGGAGCUUGCUCCGGAU